rnacentral:rRNA from 1 species
CCGGGAGGGCGCUUACCACUUUGUGAUUCAUGACUGGGGUGAAGUCGUAACAAGGUAACCGUAGGGGAACCUGCGGUUGGAUCACCUCCUUA